rnacentral:rRNA from 1 species
AUUGAACGCUGGCGGCAGGCCUAACACAUGCAAGUCGAGCGGCAGCGGGAAAGUAGCUUGCUACUUUUGCCGGCGAGCGGCGGACGGGUGAGUAAUGCCUGGGAAAUUGCCCAGUCGAGGGGGAUAACAGUUGGAAACGACUGCUAAUACCGCAUACGCCCUACGGGGGAAAGCAGGGGACCUUCGGGCCUUGCGCGAUUGGAUAUGCCCAGGUGGGAUUAGCUAGUUGGUGAGGUAAUGGCUCACCAAGGCGACGAUCCCUAGCUGGUCUGAGAGGAUGAGCAGCCACACUGGAACUGAGACACGGUCCAGACUCCUACGGGAGGCAGCAGUGGGGAAUAUUGCACAAUGGGGGAAACCCUGAUGCAGCCAUGCCGCGUGUGUGAAGAAGGCCUUCGGGUUGUAAAGCGCUUUCAGCGAGGAGGAAAGGUUGAUGCCUAAUACGUAUCAACUGUGACGUUACUCGCAGAAGAAGCACCGGCUAACUCCGUGCCAGCCGCCGCGGUAA